AUACCUUUCUCGGCCUUUUGGCUAAGAUCAAGUGUAGUAUCUGUUCUUAUCAGUUUAAUAUCUGAUACGUGGACCAAUGGUCCACAUGAUAUUAAAUUAAUUUUUUCAAGGGAAGGGCCUGUUAUGGUAGCUUGCUACUGGGGCUCUUGAGCGUCGCUCUUGUCUUGCACUACCGCAAGGGCCUGGCGCACCCUCC